rnacentral:rRNA from 1 species
GAUGAACGCUGGCGGCGUGCCUAAUACAUGCAAGUCGAGCGAACAGACGAGGAGCUUGCUCCUCUGACGUUAGCGGCGGACGGGUGAGUAACACGUGGAUAACCUACCUAUAAGACUGGGAUAACUUCGGGAAACCGGAGCUAAUACCGGGUAAUAUAUUGAACCGCAUGGUUCAAUAGUGAAAGACGGUUUUGCUGUCACUUAUCGAUGGAUCCGCGCCGCAUUAGCUAGUUGGUAAGGUAACGGCUUACCAAGGCGACGAUGCGUAGCCGACCUGAGAGGGUGAUCGGCCACACUGGAACUGAGACACGGUCCAGACUCCUACGGGAGGCAGCAGUAGGGAAUCUUCCGCAAAGGGCGAAAGCCUGACGGAGCGACGCCGCGUGAGUGAUGAAGGUCUUCGGAUCGUAAAACUCUGUUAUUAGGGAAGAACAAAUGUGUAAGUAACUAUGCACGUCUUGACGGUACCUAAUCAGAAAGCCACGGCUAACUACGUG